CAGCAAGGGGCCUCCAGUAUAAAAGGAGUCCCCCCCUUUUCUCGGUUGUGUGGUUGCUUCGGCGAGCGAAGAGGCGGACACGGCGGAGUGGCGGUGAGGGCUUCAGAUAUUCCCGCUCGAUGAGGGACUCAACCCUCUUCUUGAUCACGGCAGGAUCGGGCAGGACGCGCGGCUGCAGCUGCUUGGCGACCUCUGUGACGAGGCUAUUGAGAUUCAACACCCGCUGGGCUUUCAUGACCCUGAUAAUGGCAGCAUCGAUUUGAUCUUUCCUGGCUUCCUCCACUUUUUGGCGAAUCUCCUGCUGCUCCGACUCCGACUCCUCCUCUGCUGCCGCCAGCACAUUCAUGUCCGGAACACAAGCAAGAGACCAAAGGCACCGCUUGAGAUCCGGCAACGGCAUCGCAGUUGCUUGUUGGAUGUCCUUGCAGCUCAACCGGUCUGCUGAAUUGAACAGCACGAGAACGCACAUUUGGGAUGUCGAAACAUUCAGCUCGUGCUUCUGGCCGUUUCCGAAGGUGGCCACCACAUCGGCGGUGCCCAGUACUUGGUCGGGUUGGCCAUAUUGCACCGGUGAGAACCUGGGCAGCCAGAGUCGGGCCUUCCCCAGCUUCUUCAUCAACACCUUGGCUGGCGUAGAACCCUCGCAUGAUAUCCUGGGAAAACUUGAUAUCUGUAAGCAUCUCUUCGAGUUUGGAGGUGUAGUUAUGCCCACACUCAACUCUAAGCUUCACUAUCAGACUUGUCUCGGCAUCAUCUGAAACUGCUCUCCCCGAGAGCAGUCGAUUCGCCAGGUUUUGCUUGUGAUACUUCUCGAACACAUCCUUCUCUUGCAGGUACCGGAAAAGCGUCAUCGCUUUGUGGAGGACGAUCUCUACAUCCUUUCCGCCGUCUCCCUCCGAGGCUUUACGGAGUGUCUCGUCGACGUAUAAAGAAAUGAAUUCUGGAGACCUGCUAUUGAGAUUGAUAAAAUACUCGAACGAAGUACUCACAGCAGUUUGGAAAGUCUUGUCGUCGCCGAAUACACCAGUGAUGAUCUUAUCAUACUUAUCCUUCUUAUCCAGAAGUCGCUGAACAAGGUCCACAGGAUUCUUCGAGCUCGCUGCAUCCGUUACCAGCUGCUUCCCUGUUUCCCGAAGGUGUGAAGUCAUGAGAUCGCGUAUCGUGGAGACGCCUCCGGCACAUCGCCGGAGCAAGCUGUACAUUCUGCCCAAGUCUUCAUACUCGUCACGGAGAAGCAUACUGACGAGGCCAGAGUCCAUAUGGACCAGUCUUCUCAUGUGUUUAGCAAUCAUCUCCUCCUCCACGAUGCUAAGUAUUUUUGGUUCAGUUCUAUCAGCCAAAUAGUGAGAGGCCCUCUCCUUCUCUUCCCGGAGCCGCCUCUCGACCAUUUUAAGAUACUCCCUACAGUCACAGCAUUCGAUAAGCACCUGCGACUCGCCAGCAUAGAAAAUGGCCGAAUCAUCCAAAAAGGGCUUCUCAAAAUCCUUCUCAUACAAUGAAGGUUCCAGAAGUGCGUCGGGUAACCUGGUCUGGAUUUCCUUGGAGUGAAUGACAUUGUCUCUCCACAGAUCCAAUCCAAGUCUGAGAACAGGCGACUUAUGAGACUCGGAAACGUAUGUAGUGUCCAUGGGAGCCAGAAGAUCUCGAAUCACCGUCAAUGCCUUGUCAUGCUCCAACCAUCUUCUGUUCAGUUCCUCUAGAAAUUGAUCGUCUCGGGCAGCCUCAAUCGAUGCUGAUACUUCUUCUUGUAGGUGCCUCGUCAAGGUGGUCACCAGACCGGAGUACAGCUUUUCUCCAAAUCUAUGGAGCGCCAUAUUGUAAGCAUUCCUGGGUCCAUUACAAAAGCACAAAUCAGGAUCACAGCAAUAGUAAAAUUAAUAGAGUACGAAAAAGGGCAACUUCAAAAGCGAUGAAGCAGAAGCAGCAGCAGCAGCAGCACCUGUGGAGCACUUCAAAGCUGAGGCCGUCGUAGUUAUUGUUCAAGAUGUUGCGAAUACCGUGCUCGAGCAUCUUCCAUGUCUUAUCGGCGUAGCCGGGGUCGAGGAUCACCGGGUUCUUGAAUGGCUCGAUGCUGAAGUUACUCUUCCUCGGGUGGUCGCUCAUCGGGUCCGGAUGCGGCUUCCGGUCGGAGGGAGGUGGGCGGGGGGAGGGCGAUGAGGCCCUAUGAAGAGCGAGGGAUUUGGUUGAGAGGGAAGGAGGAGGGCUUUUGUUCGAAGGCGUCGACGGAGGGAAAUAGAGGGAGCGAGAAGUUUUGGUGUUAGUUGAUGACGGUUUCUGUUUUCUUUUGUGAUUAUUAUUAUUUUUCUGUUUUAUUUUUUUAAAUAAAGUAAAAAGUUUAUUA